CGUAGGGCGCAAGCGUUGUCCGGAAUUAUUGGGCGUAAAGAGCUCGUAGGCGGUCUGUUACGUCUGCUGUGAAAACCCAGGGCUUAACCCUCGGGCUUGCAGUGGAUACGGGCAGACUAGAGGUAGGUAGGGGAGAAUGGAAUUCCCGGUGUAGCGGUGAAAUGCGCAGAUAUCGGGAGGAACACCGGUGGCGAAGGCGGUUCUCUGGGCCUUACCUGACGCUGAGGAGCGAAAGCGUGGGGAGCGAACAGG
rnacentral:rRNA from 1 species